rnacentral:rRNA from 1 species
UACGUAGGGUGCGAGCGUUGUCCGGAAUUAUUGGGCGUAAAGAGCUCGUAGGCGGUCUGUCGCGUCGGAUGUGAAAGCCCGGGGCUUAACCCCGGGUCUGCAUUCGAUACGGGCAGACUAGAGUGUGGUAGGGGAGAUCGGAAUUCCUGGUGUAGCGGUGAAAUGCGCAGAUAUCAGGAAGAACACCCGUGGCGAAGGCGGCUCUCUGGAACGCAACUGACGCUGAGACGCGAAAGCGUGGGGAGCAAACAGG